rnacentral:rRNA from 1 species
GACGAACGCUGGCGGCGUGCUUAACACAUGCAAGUCGAGCGGUAAGGCCCUUUCGGGGGUACACGAGCGGCGAACGGGUGAGUAACACGUGGGUGACCUGCCCUCAGCCCUGGGAUAAGCCUGGGAAACUGGGUCUAAUACUGGAUAUGACUCCACGGUGCAUGUCGUGGGGUGGAAAGCCUUGUGCGGCUGAGGAUGGGCCCGCGGCCUAUCAGCUUGUUGGUGGGGUGANGGCCUACCAAGGCGACGACGGGUAGCCGGCCUGAGAGGGCGACCGGCCACACUGGGACUGAGACACGGCCCAGACUCCUACGGGAGGCAGCAGUGGGGAAUCUUGCGUAAUGGGCGAAAGCCUGACGCAGCGACGCCGCGUGAGGGAUGACGGCCU